rnacentral:piRNA from 1 species
UUCAUGUUGAGGGCUGGGUCUGG